rnacentral:rRNA from 1 species
AAGGAAUAUUGGUCAAUGGACGCAAGUCUGAACCAGCCAUGCCGCGUGAAGGAUGAAGGUCCUCUGGAUUGUAAACUUCUUUUAUCUGGGACGAAAACGGGAUUUUUAUCUCAAUUGACGGUACCAGAGGAAUAAGCACCGGCUAACUCCGUGCCAGCAGCCGCGGUAAUACGGAGGGUGCGAGCGUUAUCCGGAUUUACUGGGUUUAAAGGGUGCGUAGGUGGGCUUAUAAGUCAGUGGUGAAAUCUCCGAGCUUAACUUGGAAACUGCCGUUGAUACUAUAGGUCUUGAAUUAUCUGGAGGUGAGCGGAAUAUGUCAUGUGGCGGUGAAAUGCUUAGAUAUGACAUAGAACACCAAUUGCGAAGGCAGCUUACUACAUAUAAAUUGACGCUGAGGCACGAAAGCGUGGGGAUCAAACA